GGGUCCGGACACACUGAGGAUUGACAGGCAGUAUUAAUACGUGUUUCGGCGCGUAUUAUGUUAAAUAUGCUAGUCCUUUCAUGAUUAUGUGAUAGGUGGUGCAUGGCCGUUCUUAGUUCGUGGAGUGAUCUGUCUGCUUAAUUGCGUUUCACUAAGAAUCUAUCAAUACGUGCGUUGCGGCACUUUGACCCCUCUCUGAGCGCGCGUCUUAGUUGCUUAGCUCGCACAAUUAGGUUCUGAAAGCAACGAACGUGACCGCAACCUCUUGUUGCCUUUAUACCAAACAUGUUUACUGCUUUUGCAGUAUUCAUGCAAAAAGGCUUUUUAAACUAGAGGGACCGCUGUUACUUUCUUAAACCAGAGGAAGGUUGCGGCAAUAACAGGUCUGUGAUGCCCUUAGAUGUUCCGGGCUGCACACGUGCUACAAUGAUUGUUGCAGUGAGCAUCUCAUUUUUACACACCGCAUGCGCGAGUCCAUUUAUUCACUUCGGUGCUUUAAAUGUGUAUUUCUGCGCGCGGUAAAGCCUGCUUCGAGAGUAAGUGGGU
rnacentral:rRNA from 1 species